rfam:Rattus norvegicus chromosome 5, whole genome shotgun sequence.
GGAGAUUUAGCUCAGCGGUAGAGCACUUGCCUAGCAAGCGCAAGGCCCUGGGUUCGGUCCCCAGCUCCG